GAGGGAAAAGCCCAAAUUUGUAAUCUGGCUCUUUUAUAAGGGUCCGAGUUGUAAUUUUGAGAACUGUUUUCCGUGCUGGACCAUGUACAAGUCUGUUGAAAAACAGCAUCAUUGAGGGUGAUAAUCCCGUACAUGAUAUGGACUACCAGGGCAAUGUGAUACAGUCUCUAAGAGUCGAGUUGUUUGGGAAUGCAGCUCAAAGUGGGUGGUAAAUUCCAUCUAAGGCUAAAUAUAGGUGAGAGACCGAUAGCAAACAAGUACCGUGAGGGAAAGAUGAAAAGAACUUUGGAAAGAGAGUUAACAGUACGUGAAAUUGUUAAAAGGGAAACAUUUGAAGUUAGACUUGUUAUUGUUGGUUCAGCUCUUUUUAUAAGGGUGUAUUCCAAUGGUUAACAGACCAGCAUCAAUUUUUGGGUGUUAGAUAAGGGUCUUGAGAAUGUAGCAACCUCGGUUGUGUUAUAGAUCUUGACUUGAUAUAAUGCUUAGGAUUGAGGAACGCAGUGAGCUUCUUUUGAAGUGGAUCCUCUUGGGGAUCUUCUCACUACGGAUGUUG
rnacentral:rRNA from 1 species